UCCUUUCGUUGUCUCAAAUGUUUCCAUAAGCAUUUCAUUGAAACAGAAGAAGGAUCCAUCAGAAAUAAAAAGGCAAUGUGAGAGUCCUGAACGGCCUGCCCAGCUUUGCGUCACUUCAAUCCCAGCGACUGGACACGUGAGCAUUUGACAACAGACCGGGAUUUUCAGCGCGCAACACGCGCGAUGAUUGCGAGCAAGGGCAGGAGCGCGCAGCUGCUGCGCCAGCUUCCGGCAGGACUCCGCGCAGCGGUUGUUUCACGUCCUUCUGACUUGCUUGUAAUCCCAGAGCGCACCUACGCAACUGACUCGUCAACUUUAAGUGACCAUGGCGAGGGUGCCGAGGAAAAAGCAGCGCUGGAGCACCGGAAGCGACGUAGCGUCGAAACAUACCUGGUAACAUCUCGCACCGUGCACAGUCCCCUGACCUGAACUGGAUUUCUUUUUCUAUUCCGAAAUACGGAAAAGUCAUGUCGCGUCAUGUCCUCCGGGAUCAGUUCCCCCGUAGAAAUACUCUAUCGCGGCCGGGGGAAGGAAAUGGAUAGAUCCAUACCCGUUGUGCAUGCCACCUUAGGCGCAAGAGCUUGGUGGGGGCGACACCGACCGCGCAACCCUGGCGGUCCUGCUGCAGCGUCACGGCGUUGUCGUACGGGGCGGCCCCGCGGACGCACUAAGGCUCAUGGAGGCGCUAACG
rnacentral:lncRNA from 1 species